AUGAAGUUCAUCAUCUAAUCCUAGUUUAUUUUCUUGCAGCAUCUAAAUUUCAUGAAAAAGAUUAAGAAGAUGGUUUUGGGUUUUUGUUCGAAGAAACAAAGACGAUCAUGCGAUGAUACAGUAACGAAUGAUUAAUUGUUUGAGAGGAGGGGUUUGGCUGAUCUGCCACAAUUUUAUCAGUCGUGCAGGGGCUCUGGCGGCAAUCCAGCCGCCACGGUGAUUACCUAUUUUACGCGUUAAAAUAAAUCUCUUGCUCUGUCGCGACUUCUCGGCCGUAUGAAAACCGGCAUGCGUACGCUGCCUUUUGUCUGCCGGAUUCCCAUUCAAGCAAACCCGAUGCUCGGGCUCUCGUGUUCGUCAGACACGACAAAUCGUCGAUUCACCGAUAUUUCCGGUCCGUGAAUCGUCGACCUAGUCAUGUCAAUCGAUACGAUGUUCUCGUGCUAACAAUUAACCACAAUUAACAACGGUUGAAAUAAAUUCAGGUGUCACGUUCAAAACAUACAAUGCCUGAUCAUUUAUGACUGCAUUAUUAUUGCCUCUACAGUAGCGCACGAAAUCAAACGAAUUGAGCGGAUAUCUGUGGAAACUUUUUAUGGGUAUGUUAUGUGUUAUACGAAACAUUUUGAAAUGUCAUUAAUAUUGUAACAAGGCGUGAUUAUGACAAUUGUAUUGAUAAAGUUUGGAACAAAUUAGCAAGUGUAUAUGGAUGCUACAAGAUAUUUAAUGUAAAUAUGUAUUUCACAGAGAUUGCAAAACUAUUUAAACAAUUUUCAAGCAAAUGGAAAAUAGAAUGCAAGGUAAAAGAUUACGAGAUGGCUAAGUACUACGUUUCCACGUGCAUGAGGACGAAUGCUAUCGAUUCCAUUGCAGUUCAGAUUGCGACUAAAACCACUUGGUGGCCGCUUUAACGAACGUUCCGGAGGAAGAUCGUCGGGACAGCACCGAGCAUACGAUGCACCGGGUAAUGUUGUACAACGCAGAAUUAAGAAACAUUGACCAAGGAGCGGUUCGGGGUUGCGGUUUAACAGAAAUCAAUUGGUAUUUGUGAUUACGCAAUAAUGGCUGGCCAAAUUCGUCGAUCGCCCCGCUUCGGCGACUGUUUAAGAUUCCAGCACGAUGAAACAAUGAAUAAAAAGGACAGGAAGAGAAAGAAAAUUAAUUGGUAAUAACAUCCUGUCGAAGCUCUCUUUAAAAGAAUCGACGAUUAUGAGUUAUAUGUUUAAGUUAGGUCGAAGCUAGACAAUUCCAAAUUAGGUAUCGAUUUAAAAUUAUUCUCGAACCAUUCACAUGAAGGAUAAAAUAAGUUACAAGGUGCUUGAAAUAAUUAGAGGAUCGUCCUUACUCGAAUGAAUUUAUUGCUCAGCAAGUUAUUCAAUAGCUUGAAGGCUUGGUAAAUACUAUAUUGAAUUGUGUAUUUAGUAGAAACGUUAAUAAUUUUCAAAAUAAAAGAUACAGAACGUUAAUAAUUUUAAAGAUGAAAAUCACAAAAGAAUGUUUUUGAUCGUAUUUCUCAUUUCUUGAUAAUGUAUUAAAAAUUCAUAUAUUUCAACGUUAACAAAUACUUUUAAGAAUUUCAGAUCGACUCGGUUGAAAAAAAAUCGCAUUUGAAUACUCGGUAA